rnacentral:rRNA from 1 species
AAUGAACGCUGGCGGCGUGCUUAACACAUGCAAGUCGAACGAGACUUCGGUCUAGUGGCGAACGGGUGAGUAACACGUGGGCAACCUGCCCCGAGCUCUGGGAUAACUCCGGGAAACCGGGGCUAAUACCGGAUAUGACUGUCUGACACAUGUCGGGUGGUGGAAAGUUUUUCGGCUCGGGAUGGGCCCGCGGCCUAUCAGCUUGUUGGUGGGGUAAUGGCCUACCAAGGCGACGACGGGUAGCCGGCCUGAGAGGGCGACCGGCCACACUGGGACUGAGACACGGCCCAGACUCCUACGGGAGGCAGCAGUGGGGAAUAUUGCGCAAUGGGCGAAAGCCUGACGCAGCGACGCCGCGUGAGGGAUGAAGGCCUUCGGGUUGUAAACCUCUUUCAGCAGGGACGAAGCGAAAGUGACGGUACCUGCAGAAGAAGCACCGGCCAACUACGUGCCAGCAGCCGCAGUAAAAC